rnacentral:rRNA from 1 species
GACAGAGGUCCCGAGCGUUAGGCGGAAUCACUGGGCUUAAAGCGUGUGUAGGCGGAUCGUUAAGUGCCUUGUGAAAUCCCAUGGCUUAACCAUGGAACUGCUUGGCAUACUGGCGAUCUUGAGCCACUUAGGGGCAACCGGAACAAAUGGUGGAGCGGUGAAAUGCGUAGAUAUCGUAAGGAAGACCAGUGGCGAAGGCGAGUCUCUGGGCAACAACUGACGCUGAGGAGCGAAAGCGUGGGGAGCGAACAGG